CCUACGGGAGGCAGCAGUGGGGAAUUUUGGACAAUGGGGGCAACCCUGAUCCAGCCAUUCCGCGUGAGUGAAGAAGGCCUUCGGGUUGUAAAGCUCUUUCGCAAGGGAAGAAAACUUAUGAUCGAAUAAAUCAUGAGGUUGACGGUACCUUGAUAAGAAGCACCGGCUAACUACGUGCCAGCAGCCGCGGUAAUACGUAGGGUGCGAGCGUUAAUCGGAAUUACUGGGCGUAAAGCGUGCGCAGGCGGUUUUGUAAGUCGGAUGUGAAAUCCCCGGGCUCAACCUGGGAACUGCGUUCGAAACUGCAAGGCUAGAGUGUGUCAGAGGGGGGUAGAAUUCCACGUGUAGCAGUGAAAUGCGUAGAGAUGUGGAGGAAUACCAAUGGCGAAGGCAGCCCCCUGGGAUAACACUGACGCUCAUGCACGAAAGCGUGGGGAGCAAACAGGAUUAGAUACCCUGGUAGUCCACGCCCUAAACGAUGUCAACUAGUUGUUGGUAGAGUAAAAUCUAUGAGUAACGUAGCUAACGCGUGAAGUUGACCGCCUGGGGAGUACGGUCGCAAAGAUUAAAAACUCAAAAGUAGAAGUUCGACGGCGUUAGAAGUACGUACGACCGAAGGACCGAACCGACGGGAAGGGGUUAGGAGGGAG
rnacentral:rRNA from 1 species